rnacentral:tRNA from 1 species
UCCCUGGUGGAUUUGUGGCUAGCAUGUGGCGCUCUCAUUGCCAGGGCCCAGGUUCGAUUCCUGGUCAGAGAA